GACGAACGCUGGCGGCGUGCCUAAUACAUGCAAGUCGAGCGAAGUUUUUCUGGUGCUUGCACUAGAAAAACUUAGCGGCGAACGGGUGAGUAACACGUAAAGAACCUGCCUCAUAGACGGGGACAACUAUUGGAAACGAUAGCUAAUACCGGAUAACAGCAUAAAUCGCAUGAUAUAUGUUUAAAAGUUGGUUUCGGCUAACACUAUGAGAUGGCUUUGCGGUGCAUUAGCUAGUUGGUGGGGUAAAGGCCUACCAAGGCGACGAUGCAUAGCCGACCUGAGAGGGUGAUCGGCCACACUGGGACUGAGACACGGCCCAGACUCCUACGGGAGGCAGCAGUAGGGAAUCUUCCGCAAUGGGCGAAAGCCUGACGGAGCAACGCCGCGUGAGUGAAGAAGGAUUUCGGUUCGUAAAGCUCUGUUGUUAGGGAAGAAUGAUUGUAUAGUAACUAUAUACAGUAGAGACGGUACCUAACCAGAAAGCCACGGCUAACUACGUGCCAGCAGCCGCGGUAAUACGUAGGUGGCAAGCGUUGUCCGGAAUUAUUGGGCGUAAAGCGCGCGCAGGUGGUUUAAUAAGUCUGAUGUGAAAGCCCCCCGCUCAACCGUGGAGGGGUCAUUGGAAACUGUUAAACUUGAGUGCAGGAGAGAAAAAGUGGAAUUCCUAGUUGUAGCGUGAAAUGUUAUAAUUAAGGAGGAACACCAGUGGCGAAAGCGGUUUUUUUUUCUGUACUGACCUCGGGGGCGGAGGCGUGGGGGGGACACAAGAUUAAUUAUCCCCUAUUUUCGUGAGGGAAGUCCCCUCGGAUAAUAAUACCCUCCGGCCGCCCCCCCCCCCGGUGUAGUUUUUUUUUUUUUUAAAAUAUAUAUUAUAAGGGGGGGAAAUAGAGGGGGCGGCACGCAGGGAGGGGCCUGGGGGAC
rnacentral:rRNA from 1 species